rnacentral:rRNA from 1 species
ACUGGGCGUAAAGCGCGCGUAGGCGRACUAUUAAGUCAGGGGUGAAAUCCCGGGGCUCAACCCCGGAACUGCCCUUGAUACUGGUAGUCUUGAGUUCGAGAGAGGUGAGUGGAAUUCCGAGUGUAGAGGUGAAAUUCGUAGAUAUUCGGAGGAACACCAGUGGCGAAGGCGGCUCACUGGCUCGAUACUGACGCUGAGGUGCGAAAGUGUGGGGAGCAAACAGGAUUAGAUACCCUGGUAGUCCGCACCGUAAACGAUGAAUGCCAGACGUCGGGCAGUAUACUGUUCGGUGUCACACCUAACGGAUUAAG